rnacentral:rRNA from 1 species
UGGGGAAUUUUGGACAAUGGGCGCAAGCCUGAUCCAGCAAUGCCGCGUGAAUGAAGAAGGCCUUCGGGUUGUAAAGCUCUUUUGUCAGGGAAGAAACGGCUGGGGCUAAUAUCCCCGGCUAAUGACGGUACCUGAAGAAUAAGCACCGGCUAACUACGUGCCAGCAGCCGCGGUAAUACGUAGGGUGCAAGCGUUAAUCGGAAUUACUGGGCGUAAAGCGUGCGCAGGCGGUUUUGUAAGUCUGAUGUGAAAGCCCCGGGCUCAACCUGGGAAUUGCAUUGGAGACUGCAAGGCUUGAAUCUGGCAGAGGGGGGUAGAAUUCCACGUGUAGCAGUGAAAUGCGUAGAGAUGUGGAGGAACACCGAUGGCGAAGGCAGCCCCCUGGGUCAAGAUUGACGCUCAUGCACGAAAGCGUGGGGAGCAAACAGGAUUAGAUACCCUGGUAGUCCACGCCCUAAACGAUGUCUACUAGUUGUCGGGUUUUAAUUAACUUGGUAACGCAGCUAACGCGUGAAGUAGACCGCCUGGGGAGUACGGUCGCAAGAUUA